CAGGAGCUCUGGGCUGUAAUGUGCUAUGUCUGUCAGGUGUCUGCACUAAAUAUGGCAUCAGUGUGGUGGCCCCUGGGAAGCAGCGGACCACGGGUUGCCGAAGGAGGAGUGAAUAGGGUUAGGUUGGAAAGGGAGCAGUCAAAACGCCCCUGCUGAUCAGUAGUAGGAUUGCACCUGUGAAUCACCACUGCACCCCAGCCUG
ensembl:misc_RNA Metazoa_SRP Metazoan signal recognition particle RNA